UCUCUCUGACAGACCACCUCUCACUCUCCUGUUCCCUCCCUCCCUCAGGCGUGUGCAGCCUAAACAGAGGCUCUGCACAGAUGGGAGACUGCUUACUCGUGUUCAGAAACAAAACAUCAAGGAUGUGGGUGCAGGGGAGCGGCAGAAACAACAGUGUUCGGAAGCAUCCUAACACCACACAGACGGAGAGAAACACAUCCCUGAUCCAUCGUCCUUUAUUUUCUUUGGGGAAAAAAUAUAAAUGGGUAAUACAAAAGAAAUGGCAAAGUAAAAACAUUAAAUAUAUGAUAUACAGAAAGCCUUGAAAUGUUGCAAAAUGGUCAAUGAUUUGAAAAAAAAACAAUAAACAACAAUAAAAUAUCCAAAACCUUUCACAAAAACUCAUCUGAAAAAUGUGGGAGAGGGAGCUGUGUUCAGACACAGUGGCUUAUGGGUAAAUUGUGUGGUUCCACAACAGAUCCAGGAAAUGUGUGUUGCCCUUUGAUAAGGGUUAGCCUCUGCUAGGUGAAACCCUCAGCUAUGGUGAAGACGGGGAAAUGUGUGACAUUGGUUCUGCAAGCGAGCUCUGGGCAGGCGGACUGUGAAAC